rnacentral:rRNA from 1 species
AUUGAACGCUGGCGGCAGGCCUAACACAUGCAAGUCGAGCGGAUGAAGGGAGCUUGCUCCUGGAUUCAGCGGCGGACGGGUGAGUAAUGCCUAGGAAUCUGCCUGGUCGUGGGGGAUAACGUCCGGAAACGGGCGCUAAUACCGCAUACGUCCUGAGGGUGAAAGUGAGGGAUCAUCAGACCUCACGCUAUCAGAUGAGCCUAGGUCGGAUUAGCUAGUUGGUGGGGUAAAGACCUACCAAGGCGACGAUCCGUAACUGGUCUGAGAGGAUGAUCAGUCACACUGGAACUGAGACACGGUCCAGACUCCUACGGGAGGCAGCAGUGGGGAAUAUUGGGCAAUGGGCGAAAGCCUGAUCCAGCCAUGCCGCGUGUGUGAAGAAGGUCUUCGGAUUGUAAAGCACUUUAAGUUGGGAGGAAGGGCAGUAAGUUAAUACCUUGCUGUUUUGACGUUACCAACAGAAUAAGCACCGGCUAACUUCGUG